AGCUCCUCAAAAACACGAAUUCACCUGGUGGCUGUUCUUAUCAGCUUAAUAUCUGAUACGGUCCUCAUUGAGGGCCCAGAAUAUUAAACUGAUUUUUGGAACCAGAUGGGGUGCUCGGAGCUUGCUCCACCCCUGUCACGGGUUGGCCUGGUAUUGCAGUAUCUCCAGGAUCGGCCCUCUCCUU
rnacentral:snRNA from 1 species